GGCCGAUUAGCUCAGUUGGUUAGAGCAUGGUGCUGAUAACACAAAAGCCACAGAUUUGAUCCCCGUAUGGGUGCA